rnacentral:misc_RNA from 1 species
GGAUUAUUGGGUUAGAAUAGGUAAAUUGGGCUGUAUAAAAAGGAAGAUUUUGUUUUACUUUCCUUCUUGAUGACUGCCACAGAAAGAUAGCAUUGUUACUUUGAAGCAAUCAAGAAAUGGCAAUAAAUGGGAAUUAAUCGCUAUUUUUUUUGGGAAUUGUUAAUUUAGGUCAUUUUUUUUUAUUUAAUAGAAUUUUUGUCCAUGUGAAUUGGAUGAAGGAUGAAGAUCACAUCAGCAGGUGAAUUGUUUACAAAAUGCUUUUUCCUUUUUGUUUUCUACUUUUCCACUAGAUGAUAGUUUCACAAACGGUAUGACUUGUUACAUUAGAGCAAAUGCAUUUUCUCUUUUGUUUUCUUGUUUUCU